rnacentral:rRNA from 1 species
AUGGAACACAACUGGCUGACUUGGAAUGUAAGAGGGUUGAAUAACCCAGCUCGUAGGAAGGUGGUCAAAGACCUAGUGUAUCGGAACAAGGCAUCCCUAGUUUGUUUGCAAGAAACCAAGUUAUCGUUGUUCGACCGAUCGCUUGUACAUCAAUGUUGUGGAGGGGAGUUCAACGACUUUUCCUUCUCGCUGGCGGUUGGGACCCGUGGCGGUGUUCUG